GACGAACGCUGGCGGCGUGCCUAAUACAUGCAAGUCGAGCGGACAGACCGGGAGCUUGCUCUUCUGUCGUUAGCGGCGGACGGGUGAGUAACACGUGGACAACCUUCCUUUUAGACUGGGAUAACUUCGAGAAAUCGGAGCUACUACCGGAUAACACGUUGAAUCGCAUGAUUCAAUAGUGAAAGACGGUUCUGGUGUUCGCUAUAGCUGGAUCCGCGUGGGCUUAGCUAGUUGGUAAGGUAACGGCUUACCAAGGCGACGAUGCGUAGCCGACCUGAGAGGGUGAUCGGCCACACUGGAACUGAGACACGGCCCAGACUCCUACGGGAGGCAGCAGUAGGGAAUCUUCCGCAAUGGGCGAAAGCCUGACGGAGCAACGCCGCGUGAGUGAAGAAGGCCUGCGGGUCGUAAAACUCUGUUAUUAGGGAAGAACAAGUGUCGCAGUAACUAGGCUCAUCGUGACGGUACCUAAUGAGAAAGCCACGGCUAACUACGUG
rnacentral:rRNA from 1 species